rnacentral:rRNA from 1 species
AUUGAACGCUGGCGGAAUGCUUUACACAUGCAAGUCGAGCGGCAGCACGGGGGCAACCCUGGUGGCGAGCGGCGAACGGGUGAGUAAUACAUCGGAACAUGCCCAGUCGUGGGGGAUAACACUUCGAAAGAAGUGCUAAUACCGCAUACGUCCUGAGGGAGAAAGCGGGGGAUCUUCGGACCUCGCGCGAUUGGAGUGGCCGAUGUCAGAUUAGCUAGUUGGUGGGGUAAAGGCCUACCAAGGCAACGAUCUGUAGCUGGUCUGAGAGGAUGAUCAGCACCAAUGGGACUGAGACACGGCCCAGACUCCUACGGGAGGCAGCAGUGGGGAAUUGUGGACAAUGGGGACAACCCUGAUUCAGCCAUUCCGCGUGAGUGAAGAAGGCCUUCGGGUUGUAAAGCUCUUUCGGCAGGAACGAAACGGCGAGCUCUAACAUAGCUUGCUAAUGACGGUACCUGAAGAAGAAGCACCGGCUAACUACGUGCCAGCAACCGCGGUAACAC